rnacentral:rRNA from 1 species
AUUGAACGCUGGCGGCAGGCCUAACACAUGCGAGUCGAGCGGAUGAAGGGAGCUUGCUCCUGGAUUCAGCGGCGGACGGGUGAGUAAUGCCUAGGAAUCUGCCUGGUAGUGGGGGAUAACGUCCGGAAACGGGCGCUAAUACCGCAUACGUCCUGAGGGAGAAAGUGGGGGAUCUUCGGACCUCACGCUAUCAGAUGAGCCUAGGUCGGAUUAGCUAGUUGGUGGGGUAAAGGCCUACCAAGGCGACGAUCCGUAACUGGUCUGAGAGGAUGAUCAGUCACACUGGAACUGAGACACGGUACAGACUCCUACGGGAGGCAGCAGUGGGGAAUUUUGGACAAUGGGCGAAAGCCUGAUCCAGCCAUGCCGCGUGUGUGAAGAAGGUCUUCGGAUUGUAAAGCAAUUUAAGUUGGGAGGAAGGGCAGUAAGUUUAUCCCUUGCUGUUUUGACGUUACCAACAGAAUAAGCACCGGCUAACUUCGUG